rnacentral:rRNA from 1 species
GACGAACGCUGGCGGCGUGCUUAACACAUGCAAGUCGAACGGAAAGGCCCUGCUUUUGUGGGGUGCUCGAGUGGCGAACGGGUGAGUAACACGUGAGUAACCUGCCCUUGACUUUGGGAUAACUUCAGGAAACUGGGGCUAAUACCGGAUAGGAGCUCCUGCUGCAUGGUGGGGGUUGGAAAGUUUCGGCGGUUGGGGAUGGACUCGCGGCUUAUCAGCUUGUUGGUGGGGUAGUGGCUUACCAAGGCUUUGACGGGUAGCCGGCCUGAGAGGGUGACCGGCCACAUUGGGACUGAGAUACGGCCCAGACUCCUACGGGAGGCAGCAGUGGGGAAUAUUGCACAAUGGGCGGAAGCCUGAUGCAGCAACGCCGCGUGCGGGAUGACGGCCUUCGGGUUGUAAACCGCUUUCGCCUGUGACGAAGCGUGAGUGACGGUAACGGGUAAAGAAGCACCGGCUAACUACGU